CAGAGUGACAAAGACGUCCUCAGAGAAGGACGAAUCAGACUCCAUGUGUCCAGACUGAGGACUGAAGACUCUGGUCUGUAUCUGUGUGAUGUGAAAACUGAAGAUGGAUCCAACUCUGCAGUCUGUCGACUCAACGUUACUGCAGCUGCUGAUCAGAUCCAAACUGAGAGACCAACUUGGACUCCAGAACCAGAAGAACUAGGAAGGAUCAUCUUCAUCAUCAUCACUCUGGGACUUAUAGCAACACCUCUGAUGUUUCUUCUUUCUUAUUUUUUAGUGAAAUGUUUUCUACCAGUAGAUGUUUAUUUUAGUAAUUAUAAAAAGACAAGAGAGAGUUCAGUCGCUUCAUCGUUAGAAACACUUUGAUCAGAAUGAGAGGAAUGUAGAUUUGUAGCAUCAACACAACAAACUCAUUUAUUUGGUCGAUUAUUUUCAGCAGCUGAAAGAUUUUAAAACUGAAACUCGACAUAAAUGAGCCUUAAUAAACAUAAUUUAAGCUAAGAUUGUUAUUUAUUUUUUAAGUUCAGUGUUUCAGGUUUUAUCUGAUUUUCUUCCUUCUGUUCAUCAACCAGCAGCAUAGAGAUGUUCUGGUUCUGACCCGUCCAGGUGCAGCUGGUUCUGAACGCAGGGAGAAAGGUGGACAGAGCUGGAUUAAUGUCUUAAUUUCUUCUGCAGAAAAAUAAAUGCUCCAAACCUU